rnacentral:lncRNA from 1 species
GAAAUGUUCUACGUAUAAGGCCUAAGGUAUGAAAAAUGUUUCGUUUGUAUUCUGUAUAAAGCAUUUCAGAAACAAACUCACUCACGUACGAAAAUAAUAAGCUCACAUGCACACACUCAUUCUGAUGUGUAGAAAUUGUGUACAUUCAAUUUUUUCUUUCUGUCAACUUUCGUUUUGUACCAGAAAUGUAAAAAUGGCAAUGCAAAUAGGAAGAAAGAUAAACCCCUUUUAAAAUUACACACACAUAACUAAUCUUUUAGGUAACUGGAACCUCGGUUGGUAGGAAUAGUAUUCUCUAGAAUGAAAAUAAUUUGUAUGAAUUAGGCCGUUAUUUUUAUGCCCCAACUACGAUAGUAGAGGGGCAUUAUGUUUUCUGGUCUGUACGUCCAUUCGUCCGUCUGACUGUCUCUCUGUCCGUUCGUCCGUCUAACUGUCUCUCUUUCCGUUCGUCCCGCUUCAGGUUAAAGUUUUUAGUCAAGGUAGUUUUUGAUGAAGUUGAAGUCCAAUCCACUUGAAACUUAGUACACAUGUUCCUUAUGAUAUGAUAUUUCUAAUUUUAAUGCCAAAUAAGAGUUCUGACCCCAAUUUCACUGUCCACUGACCAUAGAAAUAAUAGAGCGAGUGGGGCAUCCGUGUACUGAGGACACAUUCUUGUUCUCAUUAAAAUUCGUUUUCAAUUUGUCUGGUCCAUUAUAGCUGACGUUAUAUGGUAUGGGUUUUUGAUUGUGAAGACUGAACAGUAAUCUUCAAUUGCUUUUUUUGAACUCGUGUGGAUUGGCCAUUAUACCACAUAUGUUUUUUUCUAUUUUCUAUUGUGUUUUUUUGUGUUUUUUUUUUAUAUUAAGAUGAAUUCAAUACAGAUAAGAAUAUAUGGUAUGAGUACUAAAGAGAUAACUCUCCAUCCAAAUCACAAUAUUUAAAAGUAAACCAUUGUAGUCCAAUGUACGGCCUUGAACACGGUACCAUGGCUCACACAGAACAGCAAGCUAUAAAGUGCACCAAAAUGAACAAGUGUAAGACCAUUAAUAUUUACUACUGGACUACAUUGCCUGAACCAAUAUCAGUUUCUUUCUCGUUUGAUAUAUGUGUUAUUUCUGCCUUCAUAACGGCAAUUGCUCCGUUGUUAGUCUUUAUAUUUGAUCUUUAAAUUUGAGAUAAUUGGUUUACACUUUUCAGUAGUUACAAACGCACUAUACAAUAAACUUUAACUAAGUUCCGAACAAAGUGAUAAUAAGAGCUUGUUUUGUCUUCUUUCUGUGGCUUUAAAGCAAUCGGUUUUAAAUUUUCUUCAUAUUUUUCUCACUUCAAUAUGUUACCUUUUAAUUUUCCCUCAACCAUUCGAAGUAACUUGUGUGUGUUGGUUUGCUCUUGUUUUAAGGACAUACGUGCCUGAUUGGGCCAUUUUUUUAAUAGUAUGUCAGUUGUUUGGUGAAAAUUGAUCACAAUGUAAAAAUAUAAAAGGCAAAAUUAAAAAGGGGCGAAAGAUACCAGAGGGACAGUCAGAUUCAUAAAUCGAAAAUAAUCUGACAACGCCAUGGCUAUAAAAUAAAAAGACAAACAGACAAAUAAUAGUACACAAGACAAAACAUAGAAAACUAAUGACUAAGCAACAUGGAUUCCCUAAAAAAACUUGGAGUGAUAUCUGGUGCUCCGGAAGUGUAAGCAGAUCCUGCUCCACAUGUCGCUCCCGUCGUGUUGCUCUAAUUAUUACAAACCCGGUAAAUACUCUUAUUCGGUAGGUCACAUUCGUGGAUUGUAGUUACGACAUGAGGAACAUAUCCGAUAUCAUCUUUGAAACUUAACUUGUUGAGUGUAACUGCUUUACAUAUUAUUUAAAUGAAAACAAGAACUUAAUUAUUUCAGUGAUUGUCUUAAAAUCCCUAGUAAAAAAACAGUGAUUUUAUGGAAUCUCUUAUCAGUUCAGUAGGUAUACAAAAUCCUGGGGGUUAUUGUUCUAUUUACAUAUUCGCUUGAAUUAAAAAGAAAUAUAUAUAUACCUUCACCUCCCUAGUUUUACUACCGCUAAAUAGUAAUAGCUUAUAACAAUAUAUAAAUACAUGUAGUAUAAAAUUAAAAUCACAAAAAUACUGAACUUAGAUGAAAAUCAAAUCGGAAAGUCCAUAAUCACAUGGAAAAAUCAAAAAACAAAACGCAUCAAAAACGAAUGGACAAGAACUGUCAUAUUCCUAACUUGGUACAGGCAUUUUCAAAUGUAGAAAAUGGUGAAUUAAACCUGGUUUUAUAGCGCUAAUCCUCUCACUUUGAUGACAGUCUCAUCAAAUUCCGUUAUAUUUACGUUGAUGCGUUAACCAAACAGACACAAUAAAUAAAACAGUCAAAACAUGGGUACAUCAAUCAUCAUCGUAUAACAGUUUUAUAAGGAACAAUUUAACAGAACACAAAAACAUCUAUUUACAAACACAUUCAUUGAUUUGUGUGUCUGACGUCAGAAAAUUUUAUACGUCACAUAGAUUUGUCGUUCAAUGCUGAUAGUAUUUUACCUUAUCAGUAUAUAUUGACUGUAGUCAUAUCACCAGCCCAGUAGUCAACACUUCGGUGUUGACAUGAAUAUAAAUUAUAUGAUCACUUUUAUAAAUUUCCUGUCUACAAAAGUUUGAAUUUUUCAAAAUAUUUAGGAUUUCCUUGUCCAAGUUAUACCUUAGCCGUAUUUGGCACAACUUUUUGUAAUUUCAGGUCCUCAAUGAUUUUCAACUUUGGGCUUGUUUGGGUUUAUAAAUAUUUAGAUCUGAGAGUCACUGAUGAGUCUUAUGAAGACACAAUGGGCGUGUGGUAAUAAUAGAUUUAAAGCUAGGUACCUUUGAUAACUAUAUACAUGUAGCGAUACGGUUAUUUAGACACAUUCCAUUCUGAUGAAAUGUUCAUAUGGCUGUGUGGGAUGUGCAAGUCCAUUGCCAUGUCCGAUUUCAAUCGGAUAUAUGCAUUGCUUUGUGGGAUGAACUUAAAGAACAUUUGUAUCAACUUGAUGAGGAUCCAUAUUUUACCCGCUUGUAUGCUAAUUUUCUGCUCAUAUUAGCAUAUCCUUUUUAAAUGACAAUUAAAAAUGUGGCGCCCCUCACCUUUGUCAAUCUACUUUGCAUACCUAUACAUCAUUUACAGGGUUACACAAAGAGUAUUAUUCUAUUGUGAUAGCGUCAAAAUUGUUUGUUUUUGAUGUAGUAAACCUUCUUAAAUUGUCAUCAACCAAUAUUCUUUAAAACAAAAAGGCAUAGAAAGAUGGCACACAUUACGAAGAUACUUUUGAAAGUAGUGAUCUUUUUGGUAAAUGAAACAAGCUAUUAUUUAUGUAAUGUAAUCGCUUAUACCUUGAUUAAUCGACACAUUUUACUGUAACCUGUGGGAAAUACUACACAUAUUUUGAAUGUCAUCUGGAUUUUGUAUAUUAUUUUCUGGACAAAUCAAAAGAUAAAAAUUUUGUAUUAUCAACGCCCCCAACAAUUUUCCACCUGAUCCUUGAACUUUCUGUUGACUGUUACGAAACUUUUGAAGACUAUCCCGUUUAAUAUGGAGUUGUUUUCAACAUAUUUCUGUCUGUAUCUUUUAUUUCGUAUUUCUAUCUAAAUAUUUAAUAUAGACUAUUCUCCAUUUAAAAAAAAAUAUCUAUUCCUACAGAAAUGUACACGUUUUGAUGCAUUUCUGUUAUUUGUUAAAGUUAAGAAAAUGAUAUUUACCAUUUUCAAAUGAAAAAAAUAUAUCUUUAUAUAAUAUUUAUUGCAGGGUUAUGGCCAGUAAUUGGAGUCUUUGUGGUGCAUGUAGUCGGAUAACAAAACCAUCAGAGUUCUGGUGUUCCGAAUGUGAUGAGGGGUUAUGUGGAGAUUGUAAAGAGCAUCACAGUAUUGCAGAAGCAACAAGAAACCAUGACAUCGUUUUAAUCGCCGAACACAAGAAUGCGUCCGAAGUUCUCCGUAUCGCUCAGUUCUGUAAAAUACAUAAUGAAAGAUACGAGCUUUUCUGUAGAAAACACGAUUGCCCUUGCUGUAAGAAAUGUGUAAAAUCUCACAACGAUUGUAAAGGUUUAACCGACAUCAAUGAAAUUAUAAAAAACGUCAAAACGUCAAACGCCUGUUAUGAAAUCGAACAAACCUUGAAUGAAUUUGUAGAGAAUAUAAAUAUAAUCAUUGCUAACCGGAAAGAAAAUCUAGUUUUGAUUAAAGAGAAAAGAAGAGGAAUAGAAGAAGAAAUAAAACAAACCAGGAUCAAGAUAAAUAAUCACCUUGAUAAACUUCAGGAUGCUAUGACAAAAGAAUUAAUGAAAACGGAACAGAAAGAAAGCAGAAAAAUAAAGAAGUUGUUGACUGCUCUUAAACAGAAAGAAGAGAAGAUCACAGAAUUUCAAGCAAACUUGGCUAAUAUAAAACAGCAUGCAUCCGAACUUGAAACAUUUUUGACCAUGAAGCAUAUCGAAAGAGACAUUGCAGUCAACGAAAAACACACACAAUUGAUUGUCGAAUCGGACACUACGAACCAAGUCGAUAUUUCAUGCGUAAUUAGCAAAUCGUUACUGGAACUCACAGACAGAGUUCAACAUUUUGGAGAAAUUCAUGUUUCGUCUGAUUUUUGUCAUUUAUCGAUCAAGAAGCGGAAGCAGAAACAAGCCCAGUUUACGGCAGCUAUUGCAACUAGAAAUAUCGAUAAUCUGACCCCGACUUUCAAAAAGAGUAUCAAGACAGAUUUAUCAAAUGUCCGAGGUUGUUUUUUGCUCCCUGGUGGUAGGAUGCUUUUUUCCAGUUUUCAACCAUCUUUAAUAAGAGUUAUUAAAUCUGAUGGGUUAGAAGAUUUUAAGAUAGUUAAGAUUGGUGAUACAUUUGACGUGGUUUCAAUUGGUGAUGAUUCUAUUGCUGUUUCAUCAGGCUGUAGAGGCAAGAUAAAGAUAAUCGACAUGAACAAUAAGAAGCUGAAGAAAACAAUUUAUAUGGAGUCUUUUAACGGUGGAAUUUCAUACAAAGAUGGGAAUUUAAUCUACUGUGCCGGACACGACGGAUUACGGAUGAUUAAUCUUAGGGAUGAAUCCAGUAUAACUAUUGCUAAUGACGCACUUUCGCACUUUGCGUACGUUACUACUUUUGCUGACAAACUGUUCUAUACAAACGAUGAAACUAGCAGUGUUACCUGUUGUGAUAACCAUGGUAACAUAAUGUGGACAUUCUGUGAUGCAAGUGUUCUGAAUUUUCCACUCGGUAUAUCUGUAGAUAAUGACGGGAAUGUGUUUGUAGUGGGAUACCAUACUUGCAAUGUGGUUGUCAUCUCUCCCGACGGACAACAAUCCAGACAACUUUUAUCAAGCGAAGACGGACUUGAAUACCCACGAGUUCUGCAUUAUGACACAGCUUCAAAUGAACUGUUGGUUGUAAAUCGCAAAAAAGAAGCAUUCUUGUUUGACGUUAAAUGAUAAGUAGUUAUGUUCAAUAUUUCUUUUAGCUUACCUAAAAAUUUAAACAUUUCGUUGUUCUAAAUUAC